GAUGAAGAACGUAGCGAAAUGCGAUAAGUAAUGUGAAUUGCAGAAUUCCGUGAAUCAUCGAAUCUUUGAACGCACAUUGCGCCCGCUAGUAUUCUGGCGGGCAUGCCUGUCCGAGCGUCAUUUCAACCCUCAAGCCCCCGGGCUUGGUGUUGGGGAUCGGCGAGCCUCCGCGCCCGCCGUCCCCUAAAUCUAGUGGCGGUCUCGCUGUAGCUUCCUCUGCGUAGUAGCACACCUCGCACUGGGAAACAGCGCGGCCACGCCGUAAAACCCCCAACUUCUGAACGUUUGACCUCGGAUCAGGUAGGAAUACCCGCUGAACUUAAGCAUAUCAAUAAGCGGAGGA
rnacentral:misc_RNA from 1 species